UACAGAGGGGGCAAGCGUUGUUCGGAAUUACUGGGCGUAAAGGGCGCGUAGGCGGCCUGUUAAGUCGAACGUGAAAUCCCCGGGCUCAACCUGGGAAUGGCGAUGGUGACUGCAAGGCUAGAGUUUGGCAGAGGGGGGUAGAAUUCCACGUGUAGCAGUGAAAUGCGUAGAUAUGUGGAGGAACACCGAUGGCGAAGGCAGCCCCCUGGGUCAAAACUGACGCUCAUGCACGAAAGCGUGGGGAGCAAACAGG
rnacentral:rRNA from 1 species